AACGCAACUUGCGCCCCUUGGGGCAUGUCUGGGUGAGGGUCGAGUAGGGUUUUGGGGGGUGUAAGGGAUGGGGGUAGAGUGUGGGGCGGGUCUGCGAGUGGGACGGGUCUGCGAGGAUCCUGCCGCGAGUGAUGCGACCGAUGCGAAUCCCCAUCCACUGCACACGUCGAGAUGCGCGUAUACCCCACAUGUGGGGCAUUCGGGUCAAAGAGAUGGCGGAGACGGCAGUGUGUCGUGUGCGUGCUGAAAGGCGUAGCCUGACUGCGUCACACACACGGCUGAUCUCCACCAACAACAACAACAACGAUAACACCACCGACCUCACCCAGGCAGGACCACCCGCCGAACUUAA
rnacentral:misc_RNA from 1 species